UUAUUUUUUUGUAUUAUGAAAUAGUUUAAAUAUAUAGAAAGAUAGAGUAACAACUGACUCAUAUACUCACAACCAGCUUUAUCAAAGUAUAAGAAUUGGCUAUACAGUAUUUGCUUAUUUUUAAAAGAAAGAAAUAAUUAAAGAUAUUUUCAUUUGCAUCCUUUCCCCAAUCUCAUUUGUCUUUCUCCCUGUGGGUCACAAUGGUUCUGAAUCUGAGGAUUAUUUUAUGGAUUCUUUUUAUAUACUAUUUAGCCAUCAAAAAUAUACAUAACACUAAUUAGCAUGUUUUCAAAUUGUACGUGGUAUACUAUGUUUACAAAAUGCUCUGUAGUUCAAAUUCAUUAAGGCUAUUUUUGAGAUUUACCCAUGUUGACAGAAAUAUCUCUAGUUAUCUCAUUUUAAUUUGUAAGA